UGACAUGUGAAACCUGGGAAUGGGAGUGU
rnacentral:piRNA from 2 species